AGGACGAACGCUGGCGGCGUGCUUAACACAUGCAAGUCGAACGGGGAUAGCGUUGGAAAGCUUCGGCCGGAAGAUGCUAUUCGAGUGGCGGACGGGUGAGUAACGCGUGAACAAUCUGUCCCAGACAGGGGGAUAACACUUGGAAACAGGUGCUAAUACCGCAUGAGACCACGGUAUCGCAUGGUACAGGGGUAAAAGGGGCAAUCCGGUUUGGGGUGAGUUCGCGUCCGAUUAGCCAGUUGGCGGGGUAACGGCCCACCAAAGCGACGAUCGGUAGCCGAUCUGAGAGGAUGACCGGCCACAUUGGAACUGAGAGACGGUCCAAACUCCUACGGGAGGCAGCAGUGGGGAAUAUUGGGCAAUGGGGACCGAAAGCCUGACCCAGCAACGCCGCGUGAGUGAAGAAGGCCUUCGGGUUGUAAAGCUCUGUUAUAGGGGACGAAGGAAGUGACGGUACCCUAUAAGGAAGCCCCGGCUAACUACGUGCCAGCCGCCGC
rnacentral:rRNA from 1 species